AUCUGUGGCCAUCCCAUCCCAAGUGUUCCCAAUCUCAUCUUUUCUUGGAAGCAAAGCAGGGUCGGGCCUGGUUAGGUCUUGGAAGGGAGAAUUGAGAUGCAAGCACGUGAGACAAAGCGCCUCCAAUG
rnacentral:rRNA from 1 species